UUAUAAGAGACAGCAGCAGCCGCGGUAAUACAGAGGGUGCGAGCGUUAAUCGGAUUUACUGGGCGUAAAGCGUGCGUAGGCGGCUUCUUAAGUCGGAUGUGAAAUCCCUGAGCUUAACUUAGGAAUUGCAUUCGAUACUGGGAAGCUAGAGUAUGGGAGAGGAUGGUAGAAUUCCAGGUGUAGCGGUGAAAUGCGUAGAGAUCUGGAGGAAUACCGAUGGCGAAGGCAGCCAUCUGGCCUAAUACUGACGCUGAGGUACGAAAGCAUGGGGAGCAAACAGGAUUAGAUACCCCAGUAGUCCCUGUCUCUUAUAA
rnacentral:rRNA from 1 species